AGUUAGAAAAGGGAGAGGCAGGAGAAGGAACAGGGAAGUUCAAGAAGAGGUGACGCAGCGUGGUGGGAAGCCUCCGCCACGCCGGAGGGAGACAAACACGGCUGUGACCUUCCAAGAGGAAGAAGGAGGCAGUGGGAAGCUCGUCUGAGAAAUCGACAUGUAAGCUGAGAUGGAGGGAAAUAAUGCAGCUGGGCUGAAAUGCAAGGACUUAGAGGAGUCAUCUGAGCAUAGGAGAAGCAAGAUCUGCCAGGCAGCCGACCUCAGUGCAGAAGAUAGUUUUACAGGACACCGCUUACGCGGGAGAGCAAAACCCAAGUGAUGCGGCUUUGCAGGAGGCCAACUACUGAAGAGUCGGAAUAGCAGAGAUGGAAGGGCUCUUCCUGGAAUUGAAGUCUUUCUCUUCAUUUCUCCACUUGCUAAACAUAGGACAAAUUAGACGUGAGUUUCAGUAAGACGCUCAGAUGUAAAAAGUCAAAGGAGGAACUGUCAACGAUUAUGCUGAUGCAGAACAGAAAUCUGAGAAUACUUGAGAAGAUUUUUCUAUAAAACAUAGUAUUCUUUAAACAACUGGAAUCCAAG
rnacentral:lncRNA from 1 species